CCUACGAGAGGCAGCAGUGAGGAAUAUUUGUCAAUGGGAGAGAUCCUGAACCAGCCAAGCCGCGUGAGGGAAGACUGCCCUAUGGGUUGUAAACCUCUUUUGUCGGAGAACAAAACCCGGGACGUGUCCCGGACUGCGUGUAUCCGAAGAAAAAGCAUCUGCUAACUCCGUGCCAGCAGCCGCGGUAAUACGGAGGAUGCGAGCGUUAUCCGGAUUUAUUGGGUUUAAAGGGUGCGUAGGUCGUCGGAUAAGUUCGUGGUGAAAUCCCGAGGCUCAACUUCGGAAUUGCCUGUGAUACUGUUCGGCAAGAGAGUAGUUGCGGUAGGCGGAAUGUAUGGUGUAGCGGUGAAAUGCUUAGAGAUCAUACAGAACACCGAUUGCGAAGGCAGCUUACCAAGCUACUUCUGACGUUGAGGCACGAAAGCGUGGGGAGCAAACAGGAUUAGAUACCCCAGUAGUC
rnacentral:rRNA from 1 species